rnacentral:lncRNA from 1 species
GCCGUUUACCUUAAAUGUAUUGCCAUUCCGGGGGUCAUGAAUUUCAAUUACUCCAUGUGGGAAUAUUUGUGUGACAAUGAAAGGUCCAUCCCAUCGGGAUCGAAGUUUAUCGAAAAAAAGACGUAACCUGGAAUUGAAAAGCCAUACCUUUUGAUUUAGCUCAAAUGAUUUUCUAGAGAUAUAUUUAUCAUGAAAUACUUUGGUUCGAGCCUUGUAAAUUCGUGAACUCUCGUAUGCAUCGUUGCGAAGUUCUUCCAGUUCAUUGAUUUGCAACCUUCGAUUAGAACCUGCAUUCUUCAUGUUAAAAUUAAACAUUCGUAUGGCCCAGAGUGCUCGAUGUUCUAAUUCAACCG